rnacentral:tRNA from 1 species
UCGUCGAGGCCCAGGGGUACAAGGGUGUGAUUGUAAUUCGACGGUUGUGGGUUCGAUCUCCACUUGAGGAA